AAUCAUUUCACCAGUUUCUCUGCACGAAUACCGAGAGAAACCGAGCGGUGUUCUUCGUGUUCUUCAUAAUCAAACGAAGAUUUGAAGGUGUUAUUGGAAUCCGAUGGAGGCGUAUGAAUAGUCAAAACGAAGCUAUCGACGCGUAGAAUCUAGUUUAAUCAUCCGUUUGUGUGCAGAUUCAACAGGUGAUUUUAGAUUAUUUUUAUAAAAUUCGAAUUAUUUGAUUUUAAAUGAUAAAUUUUCGUAACUGAUCUUGUUUGAUUGAUUUGAUGAUGCUAUGUUGUAGAGCGUGUUUUUCUCGUCGUUUUGGUAUAUUAUAUGUUGAAUUUGGAGUUCGGAAUCAUAUAGAAAGAGGGGUUUGAUUAUUUAGUGGUGUUCUUGAAGGAUUAUGAAUGUUUCCAAUUGAAAAUUGGGGGUUUUGAUUCUAGGAAAUCUGGGCAAAUACUGAUGAUUCCAUACUGUUUGUUAGCUCGUAUAGAAUCAUUUUUAGUAAUCGGUUUAUGUGGAGGAGUCGGGAAACGAGCUCGCCGGAUUUUUAAAGUCCGGCGAUGUUCUUCGUUUCGAUUCCAUUUUCCGGCUUGUAUAUUCAUCUAUUGGGAGUUUUGAUUUCAGAAACGAGUUCCUGGGAUGAUAUUUGAUAAAUCUGGAGUGUUUCGUUGAGUUCUGGGGUCGGUGGCAACACCGGCGACUCGCCGGCGGCGAGUCUGUGGGCGGCGACGGCGAAAAUGCCGUUUAGCCCCCAAACAUUUGGAGGUGGUAAAGAUUUUGGACUUUAGUUUCAUUUCUGGCAAAUUGACCCCUGAUAUUUUUAUAAGUUACACUUUACACCCUUGCCAGAAAGUUUUAAAAACUUACAAAAUAAACCUUUUGAUUUAAUUUUCUAAAAUUGUUUUAUUUAAUUAUUUUAAAUUCCAAAAAUAGUUUUUAAUUAUUUCUUUAUUCAAAAAUAAAUUUAAAUUAGUUUAUUAAUUAAUUUUAAUUAGUAAUUAAUUAUUUUAAUUGGUCAAUUAAUUUAAAUAUUAAUUGAUUAAUUAUUUUAAUUAAUUAUUAAUUGAUUUUAAUUGAUUAAUUAAUUGGAUUUAAUUAAUCCUUUUUGAUUUAAAAAUUCCGAAAAAUAGUUUCGAGCUUUAAAAUAUUUUUCCAAAUUAUCUUCAAGGCUCGAUAAUUGUUUAUGAAUGAUUUCAAGUCCAAUUUCAAGUAUUUGGGACUUGAUUAUUUAUCCGAAAAGUGAUUCUUUUAUCGAUUUUAAUUCCGAAAAAUGUUUAAAAAUUCCAGAAAAUUCCCGAAAAAUCAUUUUAACCCAAGACUUGAUUUAAUAUCAAUUGGGAUGGGAAACCUUAUGUGUUGUGUGUUGUCUGCUAUUGGUUGGAUGUGUUAUGUGCCGAUAGGAGAGUGAGGGAACUGUUUUGAGCAUAACUUUUGAUCCGUAAGUCGGAAUCAAGUGAAACGAAAGAGAGACAGAAGCUUAUAAAGUCUAGUUUGAUAUGACAUAAUAAUAUGAUGGAGUCGAGAAUGUGAAUAAUUGUUGUUAAAUGUGCAGAAUGUGAUUAUAUGUUAUUUGAUUGCUAUUAAUUGAUGAUUACGUGAUAUACAUGUUUAUUCAUGAUAGUAUACACGUGUGAUAAAAGAUUUGGAUGACAUAGUGUCGUGAGUUGAUUGAUAUUGGAUAAGAAUAUAUGGAUUAUAGUAAUUGGAUCUUGUUGGUUGAUUGUUGAUUGAGAUAGGAUAACAGGUGGAUAGUCUAAUAAAUAGACGAGACGAUGUCGGAUUUUCGAUAGGAUUCAUAUGAUAAGUGAUUGGUAAUAUGUUAUGUGGAAUAUGACUUGACUAUAUGGUAGAGUCAAAGCAUGAUUACGUGUUAAGUGAUAUGUGAUAAGUUUAAAGGGGUAUAUAAGUGGGUAUCGAUAUACGUGAUAUGUAUAUGCGAUAUAUUGUUUAGUGACUAUAGUAUUAUCUUAUUCUCGUAAAGGAUUUGGACGAGACGUGUACGCUCGAAGACGUCAGAAAGUCGGAAUGGUAUUGCAAAGCGAAUAAGGGAUGAAUCGAGUAAGCGAAGCGAUGUGGCG
rnacentral:lncRNA from 1 species